rnacentral:rRNA from 1 species
GAUGAACGCUGGCGGCGUGCCUAAUACAUGCAAGUCGAGCGAACAGAUGAGGAGCUUGCUCCUCUGACGUUAGCGGCGGACGGGUGAGUAACACGUGGAUAACCUACCUAUAAGACUGGGAUAACUUCGGGAAACCGGAGCUAAUACCGGAUAAUAUAUUGAACCGCAUGGUUCAAUAGUGAAAGACGGUUUUGCUGUCACUUAUAGAUGGAUCCGCGCCGCAUUAGCUAGUUGGUAAGGUAACGGCUUACCAAGGCAACGAUGCGUAGCCGACCUGAGAGGGUGAUCGGCCACACUGGACCUGAGACCCGGUCCAGCCUCCUACGGGAGGCAGCAGUAGGGAAUCUUCCGCAAUGGGCGAAAGCCUGACGGAGCAACGCCGCGUGAGUGAUGAAGGUCUUCGGAUCGUAAAACUCUGUUAUUAGGGAAGAACAAAUGUGUAAGUAACUAUGCACGUCUUGACGGUACCUAAUCAGAAAGCCACGGCUAACUACGU